rnacentral:rRNA from 1 species
GGACUACUAGGGUUUCUAAUCCUGUUUGCUACCCACGCUUUCGUGUCUCAGCGUCAGUCGUGGUCCAGUAAGCUGUCUACACCGCAGGUGUUCCUCCUGAUAUCUACGCAUUUCACCGCUACACCAGGAAUUCCGCUUACCUCUCCCACACUCUAGCAUUCCAGUUUCUAGCGCACCCUCCCAGUUGAGCCGGGAGAUUUCACACCAGACUUAGAACACCGCCUACACACUCUUUACGCCCAGUAAUUCCGAACAACGCUCGCUGCCUACGUAUUACCGCGGCGGCUGGCAC